rnacentral:rRNA from 1 species
CAGCCGCCGCGGGAAUACGAAGGGUGCAAGCGUUAAUCGGAAUUACUGGGCGUAAAGCGCACGUAGGCGGACUUUUAAGUCAGGGGUGAAAUCCCAAGGCUCAACCUUGGAACUGCCUUUGAUACUGGAAGUCUUGAGUUCGGGAGAGGUGAGUGGAACUGCGAGUGUAGAGGUGAAAUUCGUAGAUAUUCGCAAGAACACCAGUGGCGAAGGCGGCUCACUGGCCCGAUACUGACGCUGAGGUGCGAAAGCGUGGGGAGCAAACAGGAUUAGAUACCCCAGUAGUCCCUGUCUCUUAUAA